AUUCGCAUCUUGGUAAAGUCAAACAUGAAAUUCCACUCCAAAUUAGACAUGCUGCAUGACUCCGAGAAAUUAUUUUAAAUAUCAUCGCUAUCAGAUUCGGCUGUUUCAUCUACUUUCUUCGUUUCUAUAUUUUUUUUUCUUUUUUUAAUCACACGAGAGAAGUCAGGGAAUAAAGAGAAAGAUAUUUAUGUCAACCAACACUUCGUCAUCGAUUAUUAUUUGAAGGUAUUACAACUUCUGUUUACCUUCAUUACUUUCAAUGUUAGAUUCAGUGUCCAGUUUUGCAACGGAGAUGUUUUCUUUAGAGGUAUUUGAAUCAGAAUAAUGAUCAGAACUUUUGUCAUUAUAAUCAUAGUCAACCGACACUUCGUUAUCUUCCAAAAUUAUGUAUUCUUAAACUACCAAUCAGAGGCAUGGUGUCUCAUGGUGAACAUUAUAGCGAUUGAAAAAAUUGCUGCAGUUUUUAAGACAUUGUCUGGACAAACUUGGCAAGCCGCGGGACGGGGGCCCAUAUUAGCCCAGCAUUGAGUUCUAAUACGCAAACGGAGACUGUUUUUGAAGGAGCAAGCUUGGUAGCCGUCUUAACAUGCCGGAGCAGCAUUCAGCCAUUCUGAUAGACCGGAAGACAGGAGCACACGCCUCUUAUGGCACGCACGCAAAAGUAUGCAAUUCGGUCCGUACUAUUUCUUGCGUUUGGGAAGAGACAACGGGCAAACAAGAUCUCCUUUAAACGUCCGAUUCUCUGAAAAUAUUUCUCCUAUCACACCUUUUCUUCACCAAACACAGCAUCGUCCCACUGGAGCCCUCUCCCGCCUAGCUCCCGUAGUUUAAUUUUAGCCUUAACAGUCAUCUAGGAGUCUGUCCCUAAAGGGUCAAACAAUCCAGCUACUUGGGCAGCAACCCUACUCUGGUGUAGUUCACAAUGGUCACUUUCAGGUGAUACACCAAAUAUUUAAGCAUCUAAGGCCAAUUGUAAAUCAGGUUGACCAGCAAUAAGAAUAGAUUUACAGACAUAUAAGUUCGCUUACUUUUACCGAUACUUUUAUUAAAGCAAAAAUAGCAAAAGCAGACAAAUUUUUCAUAGUUGUUAUUCUUCAUAUCACUGGUUAAGUGAAAUUUUCAUCAGAGUUUUUUUAUUUCAAAUGUCUUCCAAUUUUAUGCGUCUCUGAUCUAGAGACAUAAAUUCUUUCGAGAUAACAACCCUAAAAAAACGUUCCUCAAUAAAAGUUACAUUGGGAGGAUUUAAAAAAUAAAUUUAUGAUUUUACAUGCGUGUACCCACCAAUUCAAAAGA